rnacentral:rRNA from 1 species
UACGAAGGGGGCUAGCGUUGUUCGGAAUCACUGGGCGUAAAGCGCACGUAGGCGGAUUUGUAAGUCAGGGGUGAAAUCCCGGGGCUCAACCUCGGAACUGCCUUUGAUACUGCAAGUCUCGAGUCCGAGAGAGGUGAGUGGAAUUCCUAGUGUAGAGGUGAAAUUCGUAGAUAUUAGGAAGAACACCAGUGGCGAAGGCGGCUCACUGGCUCGGUACUGACGCUGAGGUGCGAAAGCGUGGGGAGCAAACAGG